CCAUGUUUGUGCGCUAAGAGAUUUACACAAAAACAAGCCGGGAGUAUUAUCAGUCAUUUCAACAAUACUCGUGCUUACUCGUGCACAUUAUAAGUUCGAGUUUAGAGAUUUGGAUGUUAGUUCGUGUUUAAAUGUGAUGUGCUGGAAAAACAACUGAUCGACAUUAGAAGAAACAACAUUUUUGUCUUUUCAGUUCAGGAAACAUCGGACACGAAGGAUUGAUCCACCCCAUUUCAGCCCUGGAUAUAAAAAACAAGAUUUUGGAUUGUUGUGUUUAAAAUAAAAAAUAGUGGAAGACGUUCGGCCCCAUUUCUAAAGGGAUCGAAGGAUGUGAAGAGUCACUCGACUAAAGUUUUGGAAUCUUUCACUCCAUGCCCUGCCUGUGAGGAAGCUGGACUGGACCUCAUCUGACCACCAGUGCCAGACUCUACAGGCCUCAGAUUGGAGAGGACUUCAGUUCAUCAGAGGCACAGGCGCUGGAGGAACCUGCAACUGCAACUCAUGAAUUAGAGCCCACAGAUCAAUAUACAACUGAGGUGCAUGUGGUGAAACAUCUGGAUACAACAACAUCACAUUUGAAAGCAUCCACCUCCACUGAAUUUCCACCACUGACAACCACAAACCAGACUAUUGUGCACUGCAUCUUCGUGGCCCCUGAGCCUCCACCAGAGACCCCCACACCAGCUUUGGUGAAACUGCUUUGUUUGUUUGUGAUUUUUAAAUUUUUUUCCUUACCUAAUUAAGCUGAGAAA